rnacentral:rRNA from 1 species
CGACUGGCGGCAUGCUUUACACAUGCAAGUCGAACGGCAGCACGGGUGCUUGCACCUGGUGGCGAGUGGCGGACGGGUGAGUAAUACAUCGGAACGUGUCCAGAAGAGGGGGAUAACGCAUCGAAAGAUGUGCUAAUACCGCAUAUGCUCUGAGGAGGAAAGUAGGGGAUCGAAAGACCUUACGCUUUUGGAGCGGCCGAUGUCUGAUUAGCUAGUUGGUGGGGUAAGGGCCUACCAAGGCGACGAUCAGUAGUUGGUCUGAGAGGACGACCAGCCACACUGGGACUGAGACACGGCCCAGACUCCUACGGGAGGCAGCAGUGGGGAAAUUUUGGACAAUGGGCGCAAGCCUGAUCCAGCAAUGCCGCGUGAGUGAAGAAGGCCUUCGGGUUGUAAAGCUCUUUCAGUCGAGAAGAAAUGGCUGCAGUGAAUAACUGUAGUUUAUGACGGUAUCGACAGAAGAAGCACCGGCUAACUACGUG